UAAGAAAAUCUUCUAGCGAGGUUCGAGCCGCCCGUACCCCAAUCCGACUCAGGUGGUUAGGUAGAGAAUACCAAGGCGAUCGAGUGAAUCGUGGUUAAGGAAUUCGGCAAAAUGCCCCCGUAACUUCGGGAGAAGGGGGGCCCAGACUCUGAAGUCACUUGCUGACUAGGGGAGAGGGCCGCAGAGACCAGGGAGAAGCGACUGUUUACUAAAAACACAGGUCCGUGCGAAGUCGCAAGACGAUGUAUACGGACUGACGCCUGCCCGGUGCUGGAAGGUUAAGAGGACGGGUUAGAUCUUCGGGUCGAAGCUCAGAAUUUAAGCCCCAGUAAACGGCGGUGGUAACUAUAACCAUCCUAAGGUAGCGAAAUUCCUUGUCGGGUAAGUUCCGACCUGCACGAAUGGCGUAACGACUUCUCCACUGUCUCAACCGCGAACUCGGCGAAAUUGCACUACGAGUAAAGAUGUUCGUUACGCGCAGCAGGACGGAAAGACCCCGGGACCUUCACUAUAGCUUGGUAUUGGUGUUCGGGACGGCUUGUGUAGGAUAGGUGGGAGACUUUGAAGCCGGCACGCCAGUGUCGGUGGAGUCAACGUUGAAAUACCACUCUGGUCGUUCUGGAUGUCUAACCUCGGUCCGUGAUCCGGAUCAGGGACAGUGCCUGGUGGGUAGUUUAACUGGGGCGGUUGCCUCCUAAAAGGUAACGGAGGCGCUCAAAGGUUCCCUCAGCCUGGUUGGCAAUCAGGUGUCGAGUGUAAGUGCACAAGGGAGCUUGACUGCGAGAGAGACAUCUCGAGCAGGGACGAAAGUCGGAACUAGUGACCCGGCGGUGGCUUGUGGAAGCGCCGUCGCUCAACGGAUAAAAGGUACCCCGGGGAUAACAGGCUGAUCUUGCCCAAGAGUCCAUAUCGACGGCAUGGUUUGGCACCUCGAUGUCGGCUCGUCGCAUCCUGGGGGUGGAGUCGCUCCCAAGGGUUGGGCUGUUCGCCCAUUAAAGCGGUACGCGAGCUGGGUUUAGAACGUCGUGAGACAGUUCGGUCCCUAUCCGCUGUGCGCGUAGGAAACUUGAGAAAGGCUGACCCAAGUACGAGAGGACCGGGUUGGACGAACCUCUGGUGUGUCAGUUGUUCUGCCAAGAGCACCGCUGAUUAGCUACGUUCGGAAGUGAUAACCGCUGAAAGCAUCUAAGCGGGAAGCACGUUUCAAGAUGAGGUUUCCAUGGGGCUUGCCCCGAGAGGCUCCUGGCUAGACUACCGGGUUGAUAGGCCAGACGUGGAAGUGCAGUAUGCAUGUAGCUGACUGGUACUAAUAAGCCGAUAACUCG
rnacentral:rRNA from 1 species